UCUGCCACAGACUGGUAUAAAAGUAUUUCUCAGUGGUGAGCUAAAAAUAACCCCAGCUUAGGAAACAGGGUUGUUCUUCAUGUGGAUGACUCUGUGCCGAAAGCAUGGGAACAGGC
ensembl:snoRNA